GCUUUAAUGCAUGGUCACCAUUUAAUGGUAAGACAGUUUGUACUGAACCCUUGCCGAAGCUUUGCGUGCCUAAAAUGAGUGCUCUGCCAUGAUCUUGUAAGGCACCGGCGACAAUUUCAGAAGCAGAAGCACUGCCGCCGUUAAUUAAUACAAUAAGCGGUACAUCUGGGGCCAGUGUAUCCACAGUGGCUUCAUAGCGUACAUCAGCGUUGGCUACCCGUCCUUGUGUAUAAACGAUGAGUCCUUGUUCAAUAAAGGUAUCGCUCACCGAAACCGAAGCGUCUAAUACGCCGCCGGGGUUGUUACGUAA
rnacentral:ncRNA from 1 species